GCCCUGAGGUGUUGGACAUAUUGGAUUGCAAAUCCAAAGAGGCAGGCUAAUACCUGCCGGGGCUU
rnacentral:tRNA from 1 species